UACGUAGGGGGCAAGCGUUGUCCGGAAUCAUUGGGCGUAAAGAGCGUGUAGGCGGUCCGGUAAGUCGGCUGUGAAAGUCCAGGGCUCAACCCUGGGAUGCCGGUCGAUACUGCCGGACUAGAGUUCGGAAGAGGCGAGUGGAAUUCCCGGUGUAGCGGUGAAAUGCGUAGAUAUCGUAAGGAAGACCAGUGGCGAAGGCGAAUCUCUGGACAGUUACUGACACUGAGGCACGAAGGCCAGGGGAGCAAACGGG
rnacentral:rRNA from 1 species